rnacentral:rRNA from 1 species
UACGAAGGGUGCAAGCGUUACUCGGAAUUACUGGGCGUAAAGCGUGCGUAGGCGGUUUGUUAAGUCUGUCGUGAAAGCCCCGGGCUCAACCUGGGAAUGGCGAUGGAAACUGGCGAGCUAGAGUACGGUAGAGGAGAGUGGAAUUCCCGGUGUAGCAGUGAAAUGCGUAGAGAUCGGGAGGAACAUCAGUUGCGAAGGCGGCUCUCUGGACCAGUACUGACGCUGAGGCUCGAAAGCAUGGGGAGCAAACAGG